AUUGAACGCUGGCGGCAGGCUUAACACAUGCAAGUCGAGCGGGGUGAUGGUGCUUGCACUAUCACUUAGCGGCGGACGGGUGAGUAAUGCUUAGGAAUCUGCCUAUUAGUGGGGGACAACAUCUCGAAAGGGAUGCUAAUACCGCCUACGUCCUACGGGAGAAAGCAGGUGACCACUUGUGACCUUGCGCUAAUAGAUGAGCCUAGGUCGGAUUAGCUAGUUGGUGGGGUACAGGCCUACCAAGGCGACGAUCUGUAGCGGGUCUGAGAGGAUGAUCCGGCACACUGGUACUGGGACCCGGCCCAGACUCCGAAGGGAAGAAGCAGUGGGGGAUAUUGGACAAUGGGGGGAAACCUUAUCCAGCCAUGCCGCGUGUGUGAAGAAGGCCUUAUGGUUGUUAGGCACUUUAAGCGAGGAGGAGGCUUACCUAGUUAAUACCUGGGAUAAGUGGACGUUACUCGCAGAAUAAGCACCGGCUAACUCUGUGCCAGCAGCCGCCGUAACAC
rnacentral:rRNA from 1 species